rnacentral:rRNA from 2 species
AGAGUUUGAUCAUGGCUCAGAUUGAACGCUGGCGGCAGGCCUAACACAUGCAAGUCGAGCGGUAGCACAGAGAGCUUGCUCUCGGGUGACGAGCGGCGGACGGGUGAGUAAUGUCUGGGAAACUGCCUGAUGGAGGGGGAUAACUACUGGAAACGGUAGCUAAUACCGCAUAACGUCGCAAGACCAAAGUGGGGGACCUUCGGGCCUCAUGCCAUCAGAUGUGCCCAGAUGGGAUUAGCUAGUAGGUGGGGUAACGGCUCACCUAGGCGACGAUCCCUAGCUGGUCUGAGAGGAUGACCAGCCACACUGGAACUGAGACACGGUCCAGACUCCUACGGGAGGCAGCAGUGGGGAAUAUUGCACAAUGGGCGCAAGCCUGAUGCAGCCAUGCCGCGUGUGUGAAGAAGGCCUUCGGGUUGUAAAGCACUUUCAGCGGGGAGGAAGGCGGUGAGGUUAAUAACCUCAUCGAUUGACGUUACCCGCAGAAGAAGCACCGGCUAACUCCGUGCCAGCAGCCGCGGUAAUACGGAGGGUGCAAGCGUUAAUCGGAAUUACUGGGCGUAAAGCGCACGCAGGCGGUCUGUCAAGUCGGAUGUGAAAUCCCCGGGCUCAACCUGGGAACUGCAUUCGAAACUGGCAGGCUAGAGUCUUGUAGAGGGGGGUAGAAUUCCAGGUGUAGCGGUGAAAUGCGUAGAGAUCUGGAGGAAUACCGGUGGCGAAGGCGGCCCCCUGGACAAAGACUGACGCUCAGGUGCGAAAGCGUGGGGAGCAAACAGGAUUAGAUACCCUGGUAGUCCACGCUGUAAACGAUGUCGAUUUGGAGGUUGUGCCCUUGAGGCGUGGCUUCCGGAGCUAACGCGUUAAAUCGACCGCCUGGGGAGUACGGCCGCAAGGUUAAAACUCAAAUGAAUUGACGGGGCCCGCACAAGCGGUGGAGCAUGUGGUUUAAUUCGAUGCAACGCGAAGAACCUUACCUGGUCUUGACAUCCACAGAACUUUCCAGAGAUGGAUUGGUGCCUUCGGGAACUGUGAGACAGGUGCUGCAUGGCUGUCGUCAGCUCGUGUUGUGAAAUGUUGGGUUAAGUCCCGCAACGAGCGCAACCCUUAUCCUUUGUUGCCAGCGGUCCGGCCGGGAACUCAAAGGAGACUGCCAGUGAUAAACUGGAGGAAGGUGGGGAUGACGUCAAGUCAUCAUGGCCCUUACGACCAGGGCUACACACGUGCUACAAUGGCAUAUACAAAGAGAAGCGACCUCGCGAGAGCAAGCGGACCUCAUAAAGUAUGUCGUAGUCCGGAUUGGAGUCUGCAACUCGACUCCAUGAAGUCGGAAUCGCUAGUAAUCGUAGAUCAGAAUGCUACGGUGAAUACGUUCCCGGGCCUUGUACACACCGCCCGUCACACCAUGGGAGUGGGUUGCAAAAGAAGUAGGUAGCUUAACCUUCGGGAGGGCGCUUACCACUUUGUGAUUCAUGACUGGGGUGAAGUCGUAACAAGGUAACCGUAGGGGAACCUGCGGUUGGAUCACCU